UCGGGAAUUUUGGGCAAUGGGCGAAAGCCUGACCCAGCAACGCCGCGUGAAGGAUGAAGUAUUUCGGUAUGUAAACUUCGAAAGAAUAGGAAGAAUAAAUGACGGUACUAUUUAUAAGCUCCGGCUAACUACGUGCCAGCAGCCGCGGUAAUACGUAGGGAGCAAGCGUUGUUCGGAUUUACUGGGCGUAAAGGGCGCGUAGGCGGCGCGGUAAGUCACUUGUGAAAUCUCUGAGCUUAACUCAGAACGGCCAAGUGAUACUGCAGUGCUAGAGUGCAGAAGGGGCAAUCGGAAUUCUUGGUGUAGCGGUGAAAUGCGUAGAUAUCAAGAGGAACACCUGAGGUGAAGACGGGUUGCUGGGCUGACACUGACGCUGAGGCGCGAAAGCUAGGGGAGCAAACGGGAUUAGAUACCCCAGUAGUCCCUGAGCGGGCUGGCAAGGCGCAU
rnacentral:rRNA from 1 species